UACGUAGGGGGCUAGCGUUGUCCGGAAUCAUUGGGCGUAAAGAGCGUGUAGGCGGCCAGGUAGGUCCGUUGUGAAAACUCGAGGCUCAACCUCGAGACGUCGGCGGAAACCCUCUGGCUAGAGUCCGGAAGAGGAGAGUGGAAUUCCUGGUGUAGCGGUGAAAUGCGCAGAUAUCAGGAAGAACACCCGUGGCGAAGGCGGCUCUCUGGGACGGUACUGACGCUGAGACGCGAAAGCGUGGGGAGCAAACAGG
rnacentral:rRNA from 1 species